rnacentral:rRNA from 1 species
UAAGACAGAGGGUGCAAACGUUGCUCGGAAUUACUGGGCGUAAAGCGCGUGUAGGCGGGCCGACAAGUCAGAUGUGAAAUCCCUGAGCUCAACUCAGGAACUGCAUUUGAAACUGUCGGCCUUGAGUGGUGGAGAGGGAAGCGGAAUUCCUGGUGUAGAGGUGAAAUUCGUAGAUAUCAGGAGGAACACCGGUGGCGAAGGCGACUUCCUGGACACCAACUGACGCUGAGACGCGAAAGCGUGGGGAGCAAACAGGAUUAGAUACCCUGGUAGUCCACGCCGUAAACGAUGGACACUAGGUGUCGCGGGUUUUGACCCCCGCGGUGCCGUAGCUAACGCGUUAAGUGUCCCGCCUGGGGAGUACGGCCGCAAGGCUA